rnacentral:lncRNA from 1 species
UUGCAUUGUGUCUUUAUUGGAUAGAAACAAGGGCUCCUAAGUAUAGCCCAACGUAGUUUAAGCAAACCAAAACAUCUCUCGAUAACAUUUCUUGCUGCAGAAUGCUUCAUGUUGAAAAACUCUUCAUGGGUUGUUGGCAUGUGUCCCUCUCUCCAAUCAUUGAGAUGAUAUCUUUGCCCUCUAUAUGGGGCAAGAAACCCUUUUCCAUUUGUAUAGCCAACAUCAACAAGAUAGUAAUAACCUAAAAUGAAUAUUCCAAAACAUAUUUUAAAAAAUAUAUCAUAUAUUAAAAAGAAAUC